rnacentral:rRNA from 1 species
UACGGGGGGGGCAAGCGUUGUUCGGAAUUACUGGGCGUAAAGGGCUCGUAGGCGGCCAACUAAGUCAGACGUGAAAUCCCUCGGCUUAACCGGGGAACUGCAUCUGAUACUGGAUGGCUUGAGUUUGGGAGAGGGAUGCGGAAUUCCAGGUGUAGUGGCGAAAUGUGUAGAUAUCUGGAGGAACACCGGUGGCGAAGGCGGCAUCCUGGACCAACACUGACGCUGAUGAGCGAAAGCCAGGGGAGCAAACGGG